UACAGCCACAUCACGUUGAAAUACCAGUUUCCAUAUGAUCACCGGUUAAGCAACAUUGAGCCUGGUCAGUACCUAGAUGGGUGACCACUUGGGAAUAUAGUGCUGUAA